rnacentral:rRNA from 1 species
GUGUCAGCAGCCGCGGUAAGACGUAGGAGGCGAGCGUUGUCCGGAUUCAUUGGGCGUAAAGAGCACGCAGGCGGUUUGGCAAGUCGGAUGUGAAAACCCGAAGCUCAACUUCGGGCCUGCAUCCGAAACUGCCCGACUAGAGGUAGGUAGGGGAGAUCGGAAUUCCUGGUGUAGCGGUGAAAUGCGCAGAUAUCAGGAGGAACACCGGUGGCGAAGGCGGAUCUCUGGGCCUUACCUGACGCUCAGGUGCGAAAGCUAGGGGAGCGAACAGGAUUAGAUACCCUGGUAGUCC